rnacentral:rRNA from 1 species
UAAGGAAUAUUGGUCAAUGGACGAAAGUCUGAACCAGCCAUGCCGCGUGAAGGAUGAAGGCCCUCUGGGUUGUAAACUUCUUUUAUAGGGGACGAAAAAAGGAAAUUCUUUUCCACUUGACGGUACCCUAGGAAUAAGCACCGGCUAACUCCGUGCCAGCAGCCGCGGUAAUACGGAGGGUGCAAGCGUUAUCCGGAUUUACUGGGUUUAAAGGGUGCGUAGGUGGGUCUGUAAGUCAGUGGUGAAAUCUUCGAGCUUAACUCGGAAACUGCCAUUGAUACUAUAGAUCUUGAAUUAUCUGGAGGUAAGCGGAAUAUGUCAUGUAGCGGUGAAAUGCUUAGAUAUGACAUAGAACACCCAUUGCGAAGGCAGCUUACUACGGAUCGAUUGACACUGAGGCACGAAAGCGUGGGGAUCAAACAGGAUUAGAUACCCCCGUAGUCC